GUGUUCACUUCAGCAGCACAGUACUAAAAUUGGAAUGACAAGAAGAUUAGCAUGGCUCCUGUGCAAGGAUGACAUGCAAAUUCAUGAAGUGUUCCAUAUUUUU
rnacentral:snRNA from 1 species